UGGAGGUAUUCUACCAGAUAAUCUAUUAGAGUUCAAGUAAAGGAACUGAAGUGAAGAGAGGAGACCAAGUUGUUGCGGUAUAGAACCUGAAAGAGAGUUAGAGGAGAGGUCUAAAAGCCUAAGACGCAUGAGUUGGCCAAAGGAGGGAGGGAUAGUACCAGAGAUAUUGGUAGAGGAGAGAUUGAGAAGUUGCAGACAAGUGAGAGAAGAAAGUUCUGAAGGCAGUGAAGAUAGAUUGAGGAAUGUGUUAGGCAAGGAA
rnacentral:misc_RNA from 1 species